rnacentral:rRNA from 1 species
GACGAUGCGUAGGGGUUCUGAGAGGAAGGUCCCCCACACUGGUACUGAGACACGGACCAGACUCCUACGGGAGGCAGCAGUGAGGAAUAUUGGUCAAUGGCCGGGAGGCUGAACCAGCCAAGUCGCGUGAGGGAAGACGGCCCUACGGGUUGUAAACCUCUUUUGUCAGGGAGCAAGAGGCGGGUCGAGACCUGCUGUGAGAGUACCUGAAGAAAAAGCAUCGGCUAACUCCGUGCCAGCAGCCGCGGUAAUACGGAGGAUGCGAGCGUUAUCCGGAUUUAUUGGGUUUAAAGGGUGCGCAGGCGGAGGCACAAGUCAGCGGUAAAAUCGCGGGGCUCAACCCCGCUCCGCCGUUGAAACUGUGUCCCUUGAGUGCGCGAAGGGUAGGCGGAAUGCGUGGUGUAGCGGUGAAAUGCAUAGAUAUCACGCAGAACUCCGAUCGCGAAGGCAGCCUACCGGCGCGCAACUGACGCUCAUGCACGAAAGCGUGGGUAUCGAACAGGAUUAGAUACCCUGGUAGUCCACGCAGUAACCGAUGAAUGCUAUCUGUCCGGCCGGAAUGACGGCUGG